UACGGGGGGGGCAAGCGUUGUUCGGAAUCACUGGGCGUAAAGGGCGCGUAGGCGGGUUCUUAAGUUAGGUGUUUAAUCCCGGGGCCCAACCCCGGACCGGCACUUAAAACUGGGAAUCUUGAAUAGUGGAGAGGUCGGUGGAAUUGGGGGUGUAGCGGUGGAAUGCGUAGAGAUCCCCAAGAACACCAGUUGCGAAGGCGGCCGACUGGACACAUAUUGACGCUGAGGCUCGAAAGCAUGGGGAGCAAACAGG
rnacentral:rRNA from 1 species